rnacentral:rRNA from 1 species
CUCGUAGUUGGACUUGUGGUGGCUCCUGUGGUCCAAUUUUGGUACUUUCGGGGGCUGCCAUCUUUGGGUGGAUCCUGUGUGGCAUUAGGUUGUCGUGCAGGGGAGACCCAUCGUUUACUGUGAAAAAAUUAGAGUGUUCAAAGCAGGCUUAUGCCGUUGAAUAUAUUAGCAUGGAAUAAUAAGAUAGGACCUUGGUACUAUUUUGUUGGUUUGCGCACCGAGGUAAUGAUUAAUAGGGAUAGUUGUGGGUAUUCGUAUUCCAUUGUCAGAGGUGAAAUUCUUGGAUUUCUGGAAGACGAACUAAUGCGAAAGCAUUUACCAAGGAUGUUUUCAUUAAUCAACAACGAAAGUUAGGGGAUCGAAGAUGAUUAUUACCAUCGUAGUCUUACCCAUAAACUAUGCCGACAAGGGAUUGGCGGGGUUUCGUUCGUCUCC